rnacentral:lncRNA from 1 species
CCCAAUCCCAUUGUUCUAAGGUAAUAAAUCCUAUAAUUGCUGUAUCCUCAGAACCCAGCACGGGGCACUGCAUACGGUAGAUCUGCUUAACCAUGUACCAAAUGCAUCCGCCUCUUCCCCAACAUCCAUUACUACUGGAACCCACCAAGAACUGAAUUCCAUGGUACUUCUCAGGAUUCUUGAGGUCUGGACUAAGCCCUGGAUUGGGAAAGACGUGUUUAUGAUGCAGACCAGUUGGGGAGAUUUUUCUUGAAGGAGCAGCAGCUUGGGAAUAGCUGACCUGGUGAGAGCAUUCCUCUUCAUCUUGGCUCUGUCUGCUGUAGUUGGGGCACCUGUCAUUCUGGAUAAGGAUAGCAUGUUCAUAAAAGGGAAAUGAGUGGAGAAGGAGGGAAGGAGUUGUGAGCAAAGCAUUUAAAGCGUUGCCAGAAUAUAAGCAACAGUGCUUCAUGUCGUGAAAAACUGAGAAAAGGAGUCUUUAUGUACAGGAAGAACUCAGCAGCUGACCUCAAGAAGAAAGGAAAACAUCCUCUCUUCACUUUUCUCUGGGAUGCCUGUGCCCAGGGUCUUGAGUUUCCGACUGGGGCAUAAUGGAUUUUUGGUGGCCUGUGACUUUAUUAUGGGUCUUUUCCCAAAGUGUUUUGAAAUGGUAUGAAAGAGUGUAUUCAGUUAGAAACCUUGAGUUCUACUCCCAGGCUACUUAGAGGUUGUUUUGCAAACUUGAACAAGUCAAGUAAACCUGACUUCAACUCUACGCAAUGGAUUAUGCAAUGGUUGAAGUUCUAAGCUUGGAAGUUUCCAAUGAGAACAAAUAGGGGUGGUGAGAGCUGCCCUGCCCCUUUCAGGGACAUUAAGAGGGUCACCAGGCAGGUGAAUGUGACAGUGCCCUAAAGUUAUGAAGAAAUCUGUGCAAAACUGUAUGUUGUUAUAGUUCUUCUUGGGGCUGAUGCACCGUGACCCCUUCAACAGUUGAUGAAUCAUGGGAUAAUUGUUGAUGAGUCAUGGGAUAGGUGCUGCUUCAAGGGAUGUGGAUGUAGGUUGGACAGAGGCCGACCCCAACUCUCUACUCAUUUGCACUGUGCAUGGCAAAUUUGUUCUGGGAGUUUCUGCUUUGCUCCUGUCUUAAGCCAUCAGACCACGUGUUCAGUAGUCCAGCCCUGGCCACAGCCUCUCUGCCUGGCUGGGCCCAGGCUACUUCUAAACUCUCUGUUUUUUUUAUUUUAUUUUAUUUUUAUUUUUUUUUAUUUCAGAUUUUAUCCAACAUGGAUGUCUUGAUCCAAGAGAAAAAAAGGGAUCCCUUCAAAGUCCUUUCCCCAGUUUCCUGCUUAGUCCCACUCCUAGAGCCCUAGGGGGUUCUGUAGCUCCUCUAUAUUUUCAGGGAACUGAGCUGAAGCCAAUACGAGAUUUUAAAAGAUACCCUAUCCUUAAGCAAAGUGCAGAUCCUGAGACUCAGAGAGGUUAAGAAACUCGCCCAACGCCACACAGCUAGAUAAACACCUCAGGAUUUAAAUAGAUUGCAGGGGACACCAACAAGGCUCUGCUCAGAUCCCCUCAGAUCCCUCUGGCCCAUCUGUGCAUGCAGUAACAUCUGCUUCACCGUUGACUGCUUGAACCUGUGGAUCCACUUCACCUAAGAGCACAGAGAGCUGAAAGGGCCUGGAAUCCUGUUGCCUCCCGGGCAGCCUGCAGCCAAUGAGUAACUGGUGCUGGAAAACAGAAGGCUGCUCCCUUGCUGGAGCCACCAUCUCAGGACAUCCUCUGGCUGCUGUCUGGAGCCCGAUGAAAGGACCAUUCUGGCCAGAGUGGUUCAUGAGCUCAGUGCAGUGGGCAGCAGAGGCACCAGUCAAGCCCUGGAG